GUUUUAAUAAUUUAAUAAAAAUAUUGGUCUUGUAAGCCAAAAAUAAGGAAAUACCUUUUAAAACU
rnacentral:tRNA from 1 species